rnacentral:rRNA from 1 species
ACCCGCUGAAUUUAAGCAUCUAAGUAAGCGGAGGAAAAGAAACUAACAAGGAUUCCCCUAGUAGCGGCGAGCGAAGCGGGAUGAGCCCAGCGCCGAAUCCCCCCGGCCGCCGUGCCGCGCGUGGGAAAUGUGGCGUAUGGGACGUCGUCCGACGGCCUGGUUAUGUGCCCGCUAUCCUUCCGGAGUGCCGACUGCCCAUAGCGGGUGACAGGCCUCUGUGGGUGCAUCUGCCGGUUGUCUGCGGCGUCUCGGGAGUAGGGUUGCUUGAGAAUGCAGCCUGAAGCGGGUGGUAAGCUCCAUCCAAGGCUAAAUACUGACCACGAGUGCGAUAGUUGACAAGUACCGUGAGGGAACGUUGAAACAGAACUUUGAAGAGAGAGUUCAAGAGGACGUGAAACCGCUCAGAGGUAAACGGGUGGAACCCCCGGAAAGACUCGCUUCUUCCACCUCGCACGGCAUCCCGUCAGGCUGAAUCGUUCGUGUCUUUUGCGCUGCCACUUCCUUCGCCCGCGACCGGUCCCUGUGCCCCUUUCGGGGUGGUGCAGUCAGGUCGGUAGUGGGAGGUAGCCAGGAGCUCGGGCUUCGCUUUUCGGUCCCUGCCCGGAGCGGAUUUGAGGCAAGGAGGCUUGCGUCACAGCGACCUUCCCCGGGCCGGCUUAGCUUUUCGGAGCGAAAGUUGGCUCGUUUAUGCGCGGGCGUGCGCCAGCUGGUGGCGGCGAUGGUGGAGUAAGGUCUCCUCGCCCUUCGGGGUGGGGAAUCGCCCCUUCCCUCGUCCUCUGGCUCGGCGGAUACACGAUCCCGUCGGGAAGGACGCUUGGAUCUAUGUCGGAUAGAGAUUUCCCUUCGUCCCUUGCGGGAGCCGAGCCAAGGCGCCCGGCAUCGUACCGAAUCGCUCGUUUCACCACGGCGGUCGCGACCCCAAGAGAGCCCUGGACACUGGCGCGGCUUUUGCCUUGAUGCCGUGUCUCUUGCGGCCUUUUGCGCGGCUUCGGUUUCGUUGUUGGCCUAACCGAUCCUUGUGCGGGCUAGCGUUGUCGAGGCACACCCUCUCCGGAGGUUAACCGAAGGCACGUUGGCAGCGCGGCGGGAGCUUGCUCUUCCCAAAAAGAACCUGUGACGAUACGAGGGUCACCCACCCGACCCGUCUUGAAACACGGACCAAGAAGUCUAACUUGUGCGCGAGUCGAUGGGACCGUACGAAUCCUAAAGGCGAAGCGAAAGCGGCGGAUCGGUGACCUGGAUCCCGUAGCCAACACGGUGGCCACACAUGGGUCGUGAGUCGGGUUUAAUGUAGGGUGUUUGCGCCGAGCUCUCGGGUGCUGCGUCCUGUCCCGUCUUCGGCUCGUGGCUGUCGCGGAGUGGUUGAGUCUGCCCUUCACGGGGUGACUUUGCCGUUUGCUCCGACGGCUUAUAAGAGAAUCCUGGGGAGCCAUUCCCGCAUGGGCGAGAUCUCGGCGUGGCGGAGGAAGUCUCGGCUUCCGCCCCCGUUGGGCGCAUCGCCGGCCCGUCUCAAUGCAGCCGUAGCACUGCGAGGCGGAGUCUGAGCGCACAGGUUGGGACCCGAAAGAUGGUGAACUAUGCUUGGGCAGGUCGAAGUCGAGCGAA